CUAACGUUAUGCGGGAGGAAUCGGACUGUAAAAGGGGAAAUAAGCUAAGCAGCCGGGAUAUGAAAGCCCGCCCUUGGGGUAUAAUUUUCAUUGCAAAAUUAAGUGAACCCAACAGGGAUUGCAACUCCUUCCUAUUACAUGACUGCCCUGCUAGGUAAAGGUCAAUGGCAGACAGGGUGCGUUCGAUCUUCUCCCUGGGGAGGCUAGCCUGCAUAUGUACAGAGUCCAGCAC